rnacentral:rRNA from 1 species
AUUGAACGCUGGCGGCAGGCCUAACACAUGCAAGUCGAGCGGAUGACGGGAGCUUGCUCCUGGAUUCAGCGGCGGACGGGUGAGUAAUGCCUAGGAAUCUGCCUGGUAGUGGGGGACAACGUUUCGAAAGGAACGCUAAUACCGCAUACGUCCUACGGGAGAAAGCAGGGGACCUUCGGGCCUUGCGCUAUCAGAUGAGCCUAGGUCGGAUUAGCUAGUUGGUGAGGUAAUGGCUCACCAAGGCGACGAUCCGUAACUGGUCUGAGAGGAUGAGCAGUCACACUGGAACUGAGACACGGUCCAGACUCCUACGGGAGGCAGCAGUGGGGAAUAUUGGACAAUGGGCGAAAGCCUGAUCCAGCCAUGCCGCGUGUGUGAAGAAGGUCUUCGGAUUGUAAAGCACUUUAAGUUGGGAGGAAGGGUUGUAGAUUAAUACCUUGCUGUUUUGACGUUACCGACAGAAUAAGCACCGGCUAACUCUGUGCCAGCCGCCGCCGUAAGAC